UCAUGUUUGUGUUGUAAUUAUGUUUCGUCAAUGCCUUUUAGUUUAGGUACAUACUAGAUACUAGGUCUUCAUAAGAUCUGUAGACUUUGUUUAUUCAUCAGGUAUUAUGAUGUGCAAGUGAUAUUGUAUGGAUAUGACAUCUUGCCUUGACAGUUUACUUUCACAAUGUUUUCAGUUUUCUUGCAGUGUAAUCUGUUUUCUCUCUGGGCUUGACGAUUGUUUCUCUGGACGUGUCUGCUACAAGGUGGAUUCGUUGGUUUCCUUGCUCUCCUGCUCGACCUCAUCAAAGAAAGAGGAAGUGGAAGAGCCUGCUUAGGG
rnacentral:lncRNA from 1 species